CAGUCCAAAUCCGAUUUGAACUGUUUUGGAUAUAGUUCGAAGUCUGGUCUGAAGUCGGACCGAUCCGAACCCACUUUCAGCCCUAUUUUCAAUCAAGGCAUUAAAGUCGAAACCUAGAUACAAUGAAUUCAAGGGGCCAUGGCCCGGUAGAUUGAACCGGAGCCAUUACUCCCUCCAUUUAUUAUCCAUGUCGCCGCUCUCCCGUCCAAAGAUGGGAUGCAUACAUUAACUGCCUACAAAAAGAAAACAGGCAACUCGGGCCUAAUAUAUAGAGAAAGGGAGACCAAUUAGAAGCGUGGGGGGAGAG
rnacentral:lncRNA from 1 species